GACCGACCACCUCUCUUCCUCUCCCAAUUCUUCUUCCGCUCACCAUUUCUCCUCUAACCGACGCCUCCAUCCGCAUCCCUCACGGCGUGUAACUCGACGGACGACGGCUGCAUGUCGACGCAACCCAGCAAUCGUCGUGCAUCUCUCCCUCGAGUGAUUGGAGCGUCGUGGCUUGUCAACGCUAGAUCCACCGCCGUCACACCACCAAUCUAACUGAACGACAGCCACUCCUUGUGCGGUUUAACUCACCAUUUAUUUUCGACCACACACAGCUGUUUGAAACCAUAGUUUUCGUGGGUGGUUAGAUCUUAGAGUUAGAUUUGAUUAUUAGAGGAAUUUUUUUCCACUGUACAGCCAUUCAAAAACUCGAAAUUGGGCGUUUUUAGCAUAACUUGGGCUAAAUUGAAGUGAGGAAAGCGUAAAAUCUCGGGGGAUCGAGUAAUUGAUUGUGAGUGGCUUAUUUCCAUGUAUAAAUCCCAGGAGAUCGAGUAAUUGAUUGUGAGUGGCUUAUUUUCAUGUAUUUUCAUUAUAAAUCUAGUAUGAUGGUUUCUAGUACAAAAAUUUAGAAUAUGAUUGCUUAAUGAAUUAUGUGUUUGAAUGGGUUAAGAUCUUGUAUUUCGGAAUUGUGGUUGAACCAAAACUUAUUAAACAAGGUUUAGAUGACAACUGGUUUCUAAACAUUCAUUGAUUUAUAACUAGACUUGAAGGAGUUCUAAAAGCAUGUAUUGAUGGCUAAGGAUUGAAAAUGAUUUGAAAACGUGUUUCCAACCAUGUUUGAUUUUUAAACUUGAAAUAUGUGAUUUUCAUAAAUGUUGGUGAUUACCCUAAAGGCUACGUGAAUGUGUUUCCGUAGCGUCACCUAUGAUUAUCAGGGGGUUUCGGGACUAAAAGAGGUCGUGACCGAAGAUCCGAGAACCUAAGCCUAGGUGAGGACAUAGAUGGAGGAUUGUGAUAUGGCUUUGUGCUUAGCUUAACCCAUGACAGGUGGCUCUAUGUGCACAUAGGAGCGGUAUGUUGUUACCGUGGUAGGUGCUAAGUAUGCAUGAGCUCCAUUCGAUCGCGUGUUUCCUUGUGGAUAUGGAUCAUGUGUGAGCUAUUAUGAGCCGUGUAUUUAGUAUGCUAUCAUGGUCAGAUUGGAUGGAGGUUGCUAUCGUGGCUGGUACUAAAUAUGCAUGAGCUAGUUUUGGGCACAUGAUUCCUUGGUCAUGUGCGAGCUAUCUUUGGCCAUAUAUUUAGUCACCUUGUCAUGGUUGAUUGG